ACUAGAUCCUUGCUUGACUUGAGAGGUAUGAGGUUGGAACGGCUGUAGCCAUCUCCAUCUAUUGAGGGAACACGGGUUUGAGAACACAGUCAAGUCAGGACGAGAACAAGAGACGCUGGAUCUUGAGGACAGUGCUUGAGCCCUCGAAUCAAUCAAUGUCUAAACUAAUGGAGGGUCGAUGAAGACAUUUGGCCAGAGGACCCUGAAACACCUGAAUCCCACCUUUGGCUGGCUAGCCCCAUUUCUCAGCAGUGCCUUCACAGGAGCGGCCUGGAGGUUGACAGAACAAGAUGGAAGCCCUUCAAGAAAAUUGUCAAUAAAGAAAGACUGAAAAUGGGCAUAGCUUUCCUGAGUUGACCCUUCCUGGAAAGAGAUUUGAAAUUUCCAGUUUCCAACAAUGUUGAAAACAGGCCCGGAAAUGGAAGGAAGAGAAAAUCGUUAUGGCUCAUACCACAAGCUCUUAUUGAAUGCCUUCAUUAUGCUGCAUCCUACUUGGGCAUUAGAAGUAAAGCGAAGAGUAACACAAAUCUCUGUUCUUGGGGUACCUGCUGUCUAGUGGAAAGAGUAAUAAAGAGAACAUAAGAAUAAAAUAGGAUAAGGUGGUCUUUACCUCACCCCCUAUUUUCCAUGUAUAUCCUUUUCUUUCCCAGAAAUUAUCACGAAUAGGAUUUUAUCAGGUAUUUGUUUGUUUUACUUAUUU
rnacentral:lncRNA from 1 species